rnacentral:rRNA from 1 species
AGUGGACGCUGGCGGUAGGCCUAACACAUGCAAGUCGAACGGCAGCACAGUAAGAGCUUGCUCUUACGGGUGGCGAGUGGCGGACGGGUGAGGAAUACGUCGGAAUCUACUUUUUCGUGGGGGAUAACGUAGGGAAACUUACGCUAAUACCGCAUACGACCUACGGGUGAAAGCAGGGGAUCUUCGGACCUUGCGCGAUUGAAUGAGCCGAUGUCGGAUUAGCUAGUUGGCGGGGUAAAGGCCCACCAAGGCGACGAUCCGUAGCUGGUCUGAGAGGAUGAUCAGCCACACUGGAACUGAGACACGGUCCAGACUCCUACGGGAGGCAGCAGUGGGGAAUAUUGGACAAUGGGCGCAAGCCUGAUCCAGCCAUACCGCGUGGGUGAAGAAGGCCUUCGGGUUGUAAAGCCCUUUUGUUGGGAAAGAAAAGCAGCAGGUUAAUACCCCGCUGUUCUGACGGUACCCAAAGAAUAAGCACCGGCUAACUUCGUG